rnacentral:rRNA from 1 species
GCCCUUAGAGUUUGAUCCUGGCUCAGAACGAACGCUGGCGGCAGGCCUAACACAUGCAAGUCGAACGGAUCCUUCGGGAUUAGUGGCAGACGGGUGAGUAACGCGUGGGAAGCUACCUUGUGGUAGGGAACAACAGUUGGAAACGACUGCUAAUACCCUAUGAGCCCUAUGGGGGAAAGAUCUAUCGCCAUGAGAUGUGCCCGCGUUAGAUUAGCUAGUUGGUAAGGUAAUGGCUUACCAAGGCGACGAUCUAUAGCUGGUCUGAGAGGAUGAUCAGCCACACUGGGACUGAGACACGGCCCAGACUCCUACGGGAGGCAGCAGUGGGGAAUAUUGGACAAUGGGGGCAACCCUGAUCCAGCCAUGCCGCGUGAGUGAUGACGGCCUUAGGGUUGUAAAGCUCUUUCAGCAGUGAAGAUAAUGACAUUAACUGCUGAAGAAGCCCCGGCUAACUUCGUGCCAGCAGCCGCGGUAAUACGAAGGGGGCUAGCGUUGUUCGGAAUCACUGGGCGUAAAGCGUACGUAGGCGGACUGAUCAGUCAGGGGUGAAAUCCCGGGGCUCAACCCCGGAACUGCCUUUGAUACUGUCAGUCUUGAGAUCGAGAGAGGUGAGUGGAACUCCGAGUGUAGAGGUG